rfam:Dipodomys ordii contig_912, whole genome shotgun sequence.
GGGAAUGUGGCUUAGUGGUAGAGUGCUUGCCUAGCAUGCAUGAAGCCUUGGGUUUGAUUCAUCAUAACCA